AAUUUGACAAGAAAAAUCUUUUUUCGCAUUUCGCAAAAAAAACUAUUUAAAAGCGGAAAACGCGACAUCAACAACAUAACCUUCAGAACGAAUUCUAUGUUUUAAUUCCAUAGAGAUAAACAAAUAACAUUUCUAUGAUUAUUUCUCAUGGAACACAACAAAAAUAUAUUGGUAACACUUGCGUUGACACAUAAAACUGACAUUUGAUUGUGAAGUAUGACAUAUCAAGCAACAAUUUUUUUCAAUACAAACUGUUCAAAAUGUUACUAAACGUAAUAAAAAUAUUUUAUUUGAAAUUAAGAACAAUCCGGACACUAUCACAGUAAAUAAAAUCAAAAAGUGUAGUUAAAAAUUAAUCCACUGUACCUAUCCAUAAUUAAACUAAAAAUACGAGUUACGAGCAGAAAUUUACUUAAAAUGCAGUUCCUCAUUAAAAAUAAUUUAUAUUUGUAUCAUAUCUAUAAUUAUUGUUUUAAAAAAACUGAUUUUAUUAUUAAUAAAAAGAACUCGCUGUCCUAUUUCAUCAAAAUACGUAUCUAAUUAAGUUAUUAAAUAAUUGUAAAAGAAAA